GACUCCUCUUGUGAAAGACAUGUCGUUGAAGUUUAACUUUGUACCACUCACACUCUUGCUUGUAUGCAUCAUAAGGAUACGUGUGCUCCCUGACGAGUCAAUACAGGAUGUGCAAGAGUGAGAGGGCCAUAAAAUUUAAAUAUAGCUCUGUGGUUAGCAUUAAUAAACCUAUUAAGUCAAUACACACAUUGUCUCUCUGGUUGUUAGAGGUGAUGUAUUGCAGCACAAAGGCGCGUACCAUAAAGAUGGGAGGGCUUGAGAUGAUUGGGUGGUCUGAUAAAGGGGUGAUAAAAGCAGGCGUCUGACAACAUUAUAAGGUCUUACUGGAAAAGAAACCAUCACUUACAGUCACUCAGCAGCGGCUCUGAGCACACAUUUUAAGGCGUUAAUUUAUUUCUUGUUUUUGUGGCACCGACUCAUCACUCUGAGACAAUGAAAGUGAAUCUUGCUGUACUGGCUCUUUGCCUUCUUGGCAUAGCAGCAGUUCCAACAAUCUCAGCUCAAAGUACCACUCAACCACCUGCUCCAGGUACCACUCAGCCACCUGGUCCAGGUACCACUCAAACACCUGCUCCAGGUACCACUCAGCCACCUGGUCCAGGUACCACUCAGCCACCUGCUCCAGAUACCACUCAACCACCUGCUCCAGAUACCACUCAGCCACCUGGUCCAGGUACCACUCAAACACCUGCUCCAGGUACCACUCAAACACCUGCUC